rnacentral:lncRNA from 1 species
AAACCAACCCGAAUAUCAAAGAAAUAAGAGUAAAUUACUAAUACCCUACGAGGUUUCAUCAAAUUUACCUGACACCCCUCUCAUUUUUAUCAUUAAGUUAAUUCUUUGAUUGUUUAAAAUAUUACACUGACACCGACACCGACACCCCAUCUCACCAAAAAAGCACAGUAGAGUGUACUGGUUGCUUUAAAAAAAUGUAAUCUAUAAUAUCAAGAAACAUCAAUGUCAAUGGUGAGUGUUGUAAUUUGCUCAAAAGAUAAUGCAACACUCAGUUUAAAACAAAAGAAGUGUUCAAGCAUUGGAACACUUGUUGGACUAAUAAUCAACCAAUACAAUGUUCAGAGCAACAGAAUGCAACAACAUGGCAAUCGGAGAGAGAGUUGAAAGAAAACCCUUAAGGCAGAAGGUCCUCCACCGUAGCUGUUGUACUGAACCGCAUGCAUGAGCUUUCCCAUAUCCACAGUUGAGAAGAAGGAAGAAGGGUGUGGAGUGUGUAAGUGUGUAAGUGUGAAGUAGAAAGGAAAGAGGGAGUAGGAGAAAGGAAAAGAAAUAUGCAAAAGGGUAACGCGUGGAUAGGAAAAAGACAAGUGGUCGCAUCGCAUCCAUCCCUGUCUUUUUGCUUUGUCGCAUAGGUUUUACCAUGAUUAAGGAAAUUGCAUUUGUAAUUUAGUUUUUCGCAAAUCUACUUUGUGUCUACCCAAGUGUCUCUCUUUCUCCUACAUUCCAAUGUACUUGGAUUACUGCAAGCAACGAUAGAGUCAGAAAAUUUUCGUAGAUCAGAUUUUCUACAAAAUUAUACUGAGAAGUUACGGUUUAAUUAAGAUUAAAAAUGUUAGAUUAAUGAAAUUGUAUAAGAGAAAUACGAUUUUAAAAUGUUAAUCAAAGGGAAUAGUAUGGCUUCAAUACGG